UUUCAGUCACUACAACAUGUCAAUUUAGUUCACAGGUCUGUGUCAACCAGUGUCUUCAGUCAGUGUCUUUGGUCAGAGAUCGUUAAUUGGCAAGUGGUUAUAUUCAGGUAUGUUCUAGUGCUUUUGUUAGCUGGGGCCUCCUUUUUCUGUUCAUAGUUAGGAAUACUUUCUGUUACAGGUUGCAUUGUCUGGUCUUACUCGGUUCAAGAUUCCUAUAAGGUCCAGGUAUGCUCCGUUCUUUGGUUUCUUGGUGGUUUGUACAUAGUUAAUACGGACAUUUCUGCAUAGAUCCGGUUGUGUCCUGAACAAACACCAAGUUCCGGUCCUGCUCUCUCUCAUCCUUCUACCAUCUUAAGGUCAGGUACGUAAGUUAGGUAGGUUUAGCCUGGUGCUCUUUGUUGUAGCUUAUACCUGGUCUCUGUUUCAGCUUCUGACCCAGCGUUUUGGAGUGUCUGGGUUCUCAAGUAUCUUGUCUCAUCGGUUGUCAUUGCAUCGGGUCACCACUCAGCAUUUCUCUCAUUCUCUCUUUUCUUCUCGUCUAGUCAAGUCGGCCCUGAAGGGCAUCCAGAGAAAUGAGGUUCCCAACAUUCCGGUCUCUUGGUGGAGAUCCAUCUGCUUUGACUGGCCAUUCACUCAGAAUCGGCGCUGCCACUGCCGCAUCGAAAAACGGAAUUCCAGCUCACGUCAUAAAGAAAUUGGGGCGCUGGAAAUCGGGAUGUUACAUGCAAUACAUCCCUAACCCUCGUUCAGAGAUGGCUAGUGCUUUUGAAUCGUUGGUUUUGUAACUUUCUGUAAUAAACGUAC